rnacentral:tRNA from 1 species
UGCGGGAUCGCCAAGUUGGUAAGGCACGGGGCUUUGGACCCCGCAUGCGCAGGUUCGACUCCUGCUCCCGCAGCCA